CUACGGGAGGCAGCAGUGGGGAAUCUUGCGCAAUGCGCGAAAGCGUGACGCAGCAACACCGCGUGAGGGAAGACGGCCUUCGGGUUGUAAACCUCUUUCAGGAGGGACGAAGGCAGGCCGGUUAACAGCCGUGCCGGCUGACGGUACCUCCACAAGAAGCACCGGCUAACUACGUGCCAGCAGCCGCGGUAAUACGUAGGGUGCAAGCGUUGUCCGGAAUCAUUGGGCGUAAAGCGCGCGUAGGCGGCCCGAUAAGUCCGCUGUAAAAGUCAACGGCUCAACUGUUGAAAGCCGGUGGAUACUGUCGGGCUAGAGUACGGAAGAGGCAAGUGGAAUUCCUGGUGUAGCGGUGGAAUGCGCAGAUAUCAGGAGGAACACCUAUAGCGAAGGCAGCUUGCUGGGACGUUACUGACGCUAAGGCGCGAAAGCGUGGGGAGCGAACAGGAUUAGAAACCCCGGUAGUCC
rnacentral:rRNA from 1 species